GUUUUGCAUAAGCCAUUCAUGUGUGAGAGCUUCAUAGAGCUGUAUGUAAGGAAGAAUUUUGUGUCUGAAACGUUGUCGCUGUGUGGCCGGGCUGUGCUGCUUCAGGUGCACCAGGUCCUAACCUGAGCUGUGUACGGGGUGGUGCUGGCAGGCUGUGUGUGCAGGCAGUGCCUCUCCCAGCCCUCGGAAAAGGAGUUCGGAGCAGGGCUCUUGCACGCUCAGGUCUCCUCAACAAGGAGCAGGUUUCUGUUCUUUGUAAGACCCCUGCCAGUCCCUGUGGUGGGACCUGGUGUAACAGCCACUCGCCUGCUCCCCGAGCCGUGGAGAGGGAGCCGGACUUAAUUGAGCUCUUUCUUUUUUCCAGGCAGAACUGCAGCAGGGGAUGCAGCCUGGGGAAGGGCGGCAAUGACCUCGAGGUGCCCUGGCGUGGCCACGUGCUUCUGCACCCUCGCUGCUCCUGUUGCCUCCUGACGAGCAGCCCCGUGCCAUCGCACCCACCUGCACGACCGGGCUGUGCUGGGCUGGGGGCAAGCAUGGACUGAAUGGACCUCACCUGAUGCAUCGCUGUUGCCUUUCACGGCCCCCAUCAACCCCUCUGGGGGCCUGGGGACACCGGUUCCGUGGGACGAGCGGGCGCGCGGUGGGCACGGAGCCCCGACGCCAGCUGGCACCGUGAUGCGGGGAUGUGCGGGGGCGCGGGGCACGGGUAGCACGCGGGGCAUGUACCGAGGGCACUGAAUAAAGCGCUGCUGAACGGACA
rnacentral:lncRNA from 1 species